AUCACUUGGUUUGUAGCGGAUUUUCACCUGGAUAUACUGUUUGGGGUUGCCAUGGGGAAACAGCAUCAUUCAUCUCUGCUAACAAACAAGGUGAAACUCCAACACACAUGAGAAGUAACAAAAGGUCACUAUCACAGUUUGAAGGAACAAAAUCUAAUAUGCAUCAGUUAGUGGAAGAUGUUUUCUGUGGAUCUCCAACGAUAGAACCUGAAGCCCAAAAUACGUCUAAACCAGGACCAUACCCUGAUUCACAAGCUUUCUAUGACCUUUUGAGAGAUGCAGAUCAACCUUUAUGGCCAGGCUGCGAACUAUCCAUCCUUUCUCUUGUUGUUAUUCUCUUCCACAUAAAAGCCACUAACAAGUGGAGCAAUAAAUCUUUAAAUGAUUUGCUAGCAGUUCUGCAGAAAGCAAUUCCUAAUGGUAAGAAUUUACCUAGUACAUUUUCUGAGGCGAAGAAGAUCGUUGGAAAGCUUGGGCUUAGUUAUGUGAGAAUUCAUUCUUGUGAAAAUAACUGCCAGCUUUAUAGGAAAGAGAAAGCGAGUGAUGAUUUUUGUUCAGUGUGUGGAACUUCAAGGUGGAAGAACAUACCAGAUAAAACUAAUUUGACUAAGAAGGAAAGAAGGAAGGCAAUCCCAAGGAAGGUGUUAUGAUACUUUCCAAUUAAGCCAAGGCUUAAGAGGCCUUUCAUGCACAAAGAUAUAGCUACAACUUUAAGAUGGCAUGACGAAGAGCGCACAAAGGAUGGAGCAUCACGUCAUAUAGCUGAUUCAGAGGCUUGGAAGGCCAUUGAUUCUAAGUAUAAACACAUCGCGUCAGACCCCCGGAACAUGAGGUUUGGAGUAGGAGCUGAUGGGUUCAAUCCAUUUGGGAAGAUGAGUUCCAAACAUAGCUGUUGGCCCGUGGUCUUAGUGCCCUAUAAUCUUCCUCCAUGGUUAUGCAUGAAAGCCUCCUCUCUUCUGCUUACUUUGAUUAUUCCAGGUUACCCUGGAAAGAACUUCCAUGUAUUCAUGGAACCAGUUUAUGAGGAACUAGCUGAGUUGUUUGAAGUUGGAAUGUUAACAUAUGAUGCAUCUCGAGAUGAGACGUUCCAACUUUAUGCGGUUGUGUUGUGUAUUGUGAGUGACUACCCUGGGCUUGCAAUUGCUUCAGGACAUAGCACCAGUUUUGAGUCUGGUUGUUUCCCGUGUAGUGAUGAAACUUGGUCUUUACGCUUGAAACAUGGGAGGAAGUUCUGUUUCAUGGGACAUCGCCGAUUUCUGCACCCAGACCAUGAGUUCCGCUAUGAAUCUGACUUGUUUGAUGGAUUGGAGGAACACAAAACAGAACCAACUCUUUAUUGUAAAGUUGGAGUUUUAGAUAAGAUAAAAUCAAUUAAGAACUUCGAUGAUUCCAAAACUUGGAAGUUUGUUAACGGGUUUUUCUCUCAUUUGACUUAUUGGGACUACAAUUUGCUCCGCCACAAUCUAGAUAUUAUGCACAUUGAAAAGAAUGUAUGUGAAUAUAUAUAUGGGACACUUCUAGGAAUAGAGGGCAAGUCAAAGGAUAAUUUAAAGGCACGACUUGACCUGCAGGACAUGAAAAUCAGGCCAGAGCUACAUCCUCAAAAAAAAACAAUGACAAGUAUUUUCUUCCUCCUGCUUCGUAUACGUUGUCAAAGAAACAGAAGCAGCAGUUUUGCAAAGUACUUCAUGAUAUAAGAGUACUAGAUGGGUAUUCGGGGAACAUCUCAAGAUGUGUAAAUGUUUCUGAAGGGAGAAUUUCAGGCCUUAAAAGCCAUGAUUGUGAUAUUCUGAUGCAACAACUAUUGCCUGUUGCAUUGAGAGGCUUACUUCCAGAUAAUGUCACAUCUGUCUUGUUUGAUCUAUGUGCAUAUUUUAGAGAAGUUAGUGCAAAGGUUCUGCAUGUGAGAGAUCUUGAGAAGUUAGAGCAAAGAAUAAAGAUAACAUUAUGCCGUAUUGAGAUGAUAUUUCCGCCCGGAUUUUUUACUGAUAUGGUGCAUUUGGUUCUUCAUCUAGCAACAGAUGCAAAAAUAGGUGGCCCUGUGGCCUACCGUUCAAUGUGGUUUUUGGAAAGGUAUUUUGUCAAAAAUGAGACAUAUAUAUUUUCUAAUUAUUACAGUACUACAUUCAUUAACAUUUUUUGUCUUCUUUUUUCAUUUUUUAUUUAUGCAGGCAUCUCUGUGUCCUGAAGUCAUAUGUGCGUAACAGAGCACAUCCAGAAGGAUCUAUCGCUGAAGCACAUCUUGCAGACAAGUGCAUGACGUUUUGCUCAAGAUAUAUUGAUGGUUUCGCCACCAAGCAUAAUCGGCCUUCAAGGAAUGACGAUGAUGAUGAGGCGGUUGAUGUUGAACAAGGAUCAACUCUGUUUCCUUCGGUAGGAAAACCACUUGGAAAGCCUGGCAAUUAUGUUCUUAGAGGGAUGACUAAAUUCCAAGCACAUAGAUAUGUGUUGUUCAAUUUCUCAGAUGUCAACCCAUUCCUUCGGUAAUACGUCAAUCCUCUAAAUAAUAUCAGUUUUUUUUACAUGUUUUCACAACUCUUUCUCUGGCUUCAAAACUAAUUAUAAAAUUACUUUGCAGAGCUCACGCUGAUGAGAUCACUAGCGAGCGUGGUGUCUCAAACAUGGUCGAGUCCAUCCAACAUGAUAAGUUCAACGACUGGUUCAAAGCUCAUGUAAGUCCGUAUUUCAUAUUCUUUGUAUGUACAACUGAAGCCAUUUACUAACAACUUCUUAAUCUACAGAUAAUUAAAUUGGAGAAGGAAAAUGGUAUUGGUAGUAUUAAUAAUGAUAUUAGAUGGCUAGCACGUGGCCCAGUAGAUGCAGCAAGAAGGUACCGCGCUUACAACUCCAGAGGAUAUCGGUUUAGGCCUAAACGGUUAGACAGGGUGAGUCAAAAUAGUGGAGUGGUGGUACAUGCCAAAACAUCUACAUAUGCUGCACCAGGUGAUGCGACCCCUGUUUUAGGUGAUGUGACUUACUAUGGCAGGAUAAUUGAUAUUAUUCAGUUGAACUACUCUGGACAAUUUUCGGUGGAUUUAUUUAAGUGUGAAUGGGUUGAUAUUUCUGAAAAAGGAAUUGAGAAGGACAAGUAUCACUACUAGGAAAAGGGCUAUAGAUGGAAUUGACACUAAUGGUGCACCAGACAUGUGGUACGCCAUUAGUAUAUACUAAUGGCGCACCACCUUCUGAUGCGCCAUUAGUGUUGAAACUACUAAUGGCGCAUCCUGCCCACGGUGCGCCAUUAGUACCAAUUUUUUUUUGAACUAGUGCGCCUGUCCAAACAUACUAAUGGCGCACUUGAGUUGUAACUAGUAAUUGCGCACCAGCCAGAAGGUGCGCCACUAAUGUUAUUUUUUUAUUAUUGUUUUUAUUCCUUUUUUUGCAAAAGUACUAAUGGCGCACUCGCACGCGGUGCGCCAUUACUAGUUCAAACUAGUAAUGGCGCACCGUGGCAGAGUGCGCCAUUAGUGUGUUUUUUUUUUGCAAAACUACUAAUGGCGCACCAUCAGGGGGUGCGCCAUUAGUAACCUGGAUUACUAAUGGCGCAUUUGUUGCUGGUGCGCCAUUAGUAAGUGGGCAGCAACAAGAUAUUUUGGACAGCCUCUCCUCCCACACUCACUUUCUCCCCACUUCAUUCUCUCCACCGCCUCCUCCUUGUCUCGGGUGCCUUCUCUUUUUCACCUCAUUUCCACCAUAGAUUCAUUCAAAUUAAGUAGUUAAGUUACCUUGUUUUGCUAGGUAAGUAAGGGGGGAAGCUAUAUUUAUGUUGUUCUCCCUACAACAAUGUGCACAUGCACUUUUUAUGGCCUAGCUAGAUCUAUGUAUGUUCGUGGUGUUGCAUAUGUUUGUGGUGUAGCAUAUGUGUUUGUGUUUGGAGGUGUACCGGUAUUUGAAAUGCGAUAGUUGCCAAUAUUUUGCCGGAAUGUUGAUUCAUUUCCGUUUCGGCGAGAAUUUUGGCAUUAAGCAUUCUUUUUGGUCCUAUUUUUAGGGAACGUCAUGCCAAAUUUUUUCUUGGUUCUAAAAUAUCGUUUUGCUCUACCCCGCAGGCGACCAUGGUCCGCACGAUGACCGAAGGCAUCGUGAAUAGGUUUUUGAGGUCCGCGAAGGCCGAGAUGCUUCAAAAGAACGAGACGGAGAUAAGAUGUCCGUGUCGAAGAUGCAAGCUGAAUAGCCUUAUUGCGGACCCGGAUUCCGGGCAGGUGCGGGACCACCUGCUCUUGCGUGGUUUCAUGGAUGGCUAUCGGUGGCAAGGUGAUGAAGAUGACUACGAAGUCGUCCAUGGGGGCCGGGCAAGAAAUGAGGAAGGGCAGCAAGACAACCACCACGGCUCGGGGGGGGCGAGAAGACGAAGAAUCCCCAGGAGAUGAUCACGACGGUGAUGCUGUACACAGUCAUCAUGUAGAAGAUGCAGGACAUGAUGAUGAUGCCGGCGGAGCAGACGACGCUGGACCAUCGAUGGGCUGGGUGCAGGACCCUCAUAUUCAAGAGCUGCUUCGCAAGCAGACGGAUAACGCAAGAGAUGCCGCCCGAGAGAAAGCCAAGAUGGAUCAACUUGAGUUAGACGCGGUUACUCCAUUGUAUGAAGGAUGCAGGCCCGAGGAUACCCGCCUGAAAGUAACGCUCAUGGCUCUGGAGAUGAAGGUAAAACACAAAAUGACCGACGCAUGCUUCGACGAGAACAUGUCAUUCUGGCACGAACGUCUUCCCAAGGGGAACAAGUGCCCGACCAGUUUGGAGGAGGCGAAGAAAAUCGUGUGUCCUCUGGAUUUACCGCACGUGAAAUACCAUGUGUGCAUGAACAAUUGCAUCAUUUAUCGGGACGAGCACGUGGAGUCUACCAUAUGUCCAGUGUGCGGUGUCACUCGAUACAAGAAGAGGAAGAAAGCUCCUCGAAAAGUGGUGUGGUACUUUCCGAUCACUCCUCGUCUGCAGCGGUAUUUCACGGAUCCUAAGGUAGCAAAGCUCCUGCGUUGGCACGCGGAUAGGGAGGAGAAGAAGCGAGAAGAUGACGCAAAUGAUCCGGAGAUAGAUAAAAAAGACAAGAUGCUGAGUCACCCUAAGGAUGCGAGCCAGUGGCAAGCGUUGAACUUCGAAUACCCAGAAUUUGGGAACGAUCCAAGGAACAUCGUGCUGGGCGCGAGCACCGAUGGAGUCAAUCCGUUUGGCAGCCAGAGAAGCACACAUAGCACCUGGCCUGUGUUUGUGUGGAUGUACAACCUUCCCCCCUGGUUGUGCAUGAAGAGAAAGUACAUUUACAUGAGUAUGCUAAUUGAAGGGCCGAAACAACCAGGGAACAACAUCAAUCUGUAUCUGGGGCUGCUGAAAGAGGAGCUUGACACGCUGUGGAAAACGCCAGCCAAUACGUGGGACGCCGCAGAGAAAGAAUAUUUCCCUAUGAGAGCCGCACUGCUCACGACGGUGCACGACUAUCUCGGUUACGGAUAUCUUGCGGGGCAGGUAGUCCACGGAUUUUCUGGAUGCGUAAGGUGCAUGGAUGACACAACGUAUCGCCAGCUAGAUAGAGAUCCCGGGUCUUCGAAAACCGUGUUCAUGGGACAUCGAAGGUGGCUUCGCGACGAUGACCCGUGGAGGAAACGCAAGGAUCUGUUCGAUGGUGAAACCGAACCCCGAAAACGCCCGUGUACGAGGAGCGGCGAGGAAAUAGACAAGCUGUUGAAAAAUUGGAAAGACUGCCCACUGCCGGGAAAGAAGCAAAAGGCGCCAGAGCCGGGAAAGAAGCGAAAGGCGCCAGAGCCGCUGCUGAAGGUAUGGAAAACGAGGUCUGUUUUCUGGGACUUGCCGUACUGGAAGAUCCACCGUGUGCCUCACAGCCUUGAUGUCAUGCAUAUCACGAAGAACGUGUGCGAGAGUCUGCUUGGUACCCUGCUCAACAUGCCAGAGAUGAACAAAGAUGGGCCGAAAGCAAGGGCAGACUUGAAAUCAAUGGGCAUCAGGCAGGAGCUUCACGCUAUAUAUGAUGAUGAUGAUGAUGAUGAUGAUGAUGAUGAUGAUGAUGAUGAUGAUGAUGAUGAUGAUGAUGAUGAUGAUGAUGAUGAGGCGAAGCAGGACACAGAAAGUCGUCGCAAAGGCAAAAAGGCCAAGAAGACCGGAAAUGACUACCCUCCCGCGUGCUUCACUCUAAGUCAGGAGGAGAUCGAGCAGUUUUUCACCUGCCUCCUAGGAGUAAAACUUCCUUACGGUUACGCGGGGAAGAUAAGCAGAUACCUAGACCCAGCGAAGCAGAAGUUCAGCGGGAUGAAGUCUCACGACUGUCACGUGCUGAUGAUGCAGAUACUUCCAGUUGCAAUCCGUGGGAUCAUGGACGCGCACGUCCGUGAAACGCUAUUUGGCCUAUGCAACUUCUUCGACGUCAUCUCUCGGAAGUCGAUUGGCGUGAGGCAACUCAGAAGGCUACAGGAAGAGAUCGUGGUGAUACUAUGCGAGCUUGAGAUGUACUUCCCGCCCGCAUUCUUCGAUGUUAUGGUGCAUCUGCUGGUCCAUAUAGUGGAGGAUAUCAUCCAACUCGGGCCGACGUUCCUGCACAGCAUGAUGCCGUUCGAAAGGAUGAAUGGUGUCAUCAAAGGAUACGUUCGCAACAUGUCACGUCCAGAAGGAAGCAUAGCCAGGGGCUUUCUGACCGAAGAGUGCAUCUCCUACUGCACGAAUUAUCUAGGCAUCGAGAACCCCGUUGGUCUGCCCGUCAACAGGCACCUCGGCAGGCUCGCUGGAUGGGGUCACCGUGAGGGUCGCCGUGAAAUGCAUGUCUACUUCGAGGGUCGACUCGCCAACUUUGAAAGAGCAAACCUAGUCGCGCUACAACACAUAGACGUGGUCGAUCCAUGGGUGGUAGAGCACAAAACCUUUAUUAAGAAGACGUACAAUGACCGAGGCCAACAGAGGACGGACGGAGAUAUACUCAAAGAGCACAACUCAUGUUUCACGCGUUGGUUCAAGCAGAAGCUUCUGUCGUACCCUUUACAUGAGGAUUCUUCCGCGGAAGAACAACUCAUAAUCGCCUUGUCACAGGGCGCCGAGCACAACCUGAUGACCUAUGAGGCAUACGAUAUCAACGGCUACACAUUCUACACCGAGGCCAAGGACAUGAAGAGCGAUGGUUAUCAGAACUCCAGGGUAACGCUGGAAUCCUACACCGGUAACGACAAGGACAGGUACUACGGAAGGAUCGAGGAGAUCUGGGAGCUGAGCUACGCUGGAGAGAAGGUCCCGAUGUUCCGUGUCAGAUGGGCCAAGAACGUCAUAAAAGAAGACCGGUAUUUCACCACCAUGGUUAUACCCGAAGCCAAAUCCAAGACCGCGGGCGCAAACGUCACCGCGAAAAAUGAGCCAUGGGUACUGGCUUCCCAAGUGGACCAAUGCUUCUUCAUUACCGACCCGCCAAAGCCCAGUCAUGUUGUCGUGAGGAGAGGUAAAAGGAAGAUCAUCGGAAUGGAUGGAGUAGCCAAUGAGUAAGACUUCGACAAGUACGGCGACCCGAGGAUCGAACAUGACGACGAUGAUGAAGUAGCAGCAUACACCACAAGAAGAAGCAGGACCACCCUACCUAAAGGACGUCCGUUCCACAGAAGAACUCCAUUUGCGAAAAAGAAGGGCAAGAAGAUUGUGAACAGAUAGCUAGCUAAGAUCGAUUGUAUUUAAAUCGUAGCCUUCAUUUCUCGAUUGUAUUUCAUGGGUACUUUUUGAACUAUCAUGAAUAUUUUUAAAUUUCAUGGACACUCGAUCUCGAUCCCCCUCCAUCUCGAUCGCUAUCCCACCUCGCCAGAUCCGGUCCCCCUCGCCGCCGAGCACCCCCCAGUCCACCGGCCACCGCCGCCGACCCCCGCACCCUCGAUUCCCCUACUCAACCGCCGCCGCCGACCCCCCGCACCCCGCGCACCAUCUUAUAAAAAAAUAAGUAUCAAAUAGCUUUUUAAAUGCUACUGUCUUAUAAAAAAUAUUACUGUUAUUAUUUAAACAAGUUUGAACAUAUUUAAACACAAAUAAGUAUCAAACAGCUUUUUAAAUGCUAAAAAAAAUUUGUGGAGCCUGGGAGUUGAACCCAGGACCUCCUAGUGUGAGAACUAGCUGUUGACCAGUCGAGCUAGUAGAGGGGGCUUGAUGUGGAUCAGUUCUGGUGGUACAUAACCUGUUGGCUCGAGUUGAAAUAAAAAAAUACUAAUGGCGCACCACGGUGAGGUGCGCCAUUAGUAUUGUGCCCGAUACCCCCUUCCCUCUCCCCCUUCCCUCUCCCCCUCGCCAGUUCCCUCUCCCUCUCGAUCCACCGCCGCUGCCGCCGCUGCCCUGACCCACUGCUCGCCCUUGCCCUCGCCCUCUCCCUCCCUCGCCCUCUCCUCGCCUUCCCUCUCCCUCGCCCUCUCCCCGCCUUCCCUCNNNNNNNNNNNNNNNNNNNNNNNNNNNNNNNNNNNNNNNNNNNNNNNNNNNNNNNNNNNNNNNNNNNNNNNNNNNNNNNNNNNNNNNNNNNNNNNNNNNNNNNNNNNNNNNNNNNNNNNNNNNNNNNNNNNNNNNNNNNNNNNNNNNNNNNNNNNNNNNNNNNNNNNNNNNNNNNNNNNNNNNNNNNNNNNNNNNNNNNNNNNNNNNNNNNNNNNNNNNNNNNNNNNNNNNNNNNNNNNNNNNNNNNNNNNNNNNNNNNNNNNNNNNNNNNNNNNNNNNNNNNNNNNNNNNNNNNNNNNNNNNNNNNNNNNNNNNNNNNNNNNNNNNNNNNNNNNNNNNNNNNNNNNNNNNNNNNNNNNNNNNNNNNNNNNNNNNNNNNNNNNNNNNNNNNNNNNNNNNNNNNNNNNNNNNNNNNNNNNNNNNNNNNNNNNNNNNNNNNNNNNNNNNNNNNNNNNNNNNNNNNNNNNNNNNNNNNNNNNNNNNNNNNNNNNNNNNNNNNNNNNNNNNNNNNNNNNNNNNNNNNNNNNNNUGUACUUUUAGUGUAAUUACUGUGCAUUUUCAGUGAAAUUUACACUGUAAUUGUUAGUGGAAUUUACACUGUAAAUGUUAGUGGGUUUACAGUGUACUUCUAGUGGAUUUUUGCUCUGUAUUUGCAAGUGGCAUUUUUAGUGGAAUUACUGUGUAUUUCCAUGGUUUUUACACUGUAAUUAUUAGUGUAAGAUAUUGUUGCAAUUAAAUUUAGAAAUGGCAGCUCUUGGUGGCUUGGUGUACCUGUAUUUUCUCUCUGAAAAUUCUCUAAACAAGAAUUGCAAUUUGAUUUUGGCCCUGGUACAUGUAGUAGUAGUAAUGUUUGAGGGUUGCAUGCUUCGGUGCUAAAUUUGCAUCAGCGGUUGACUUUUCUUGAGUGAUUAUAACUUGUGGAAUAUGCUGUCUCAAACUAUGGAACAUGAGAUCUGCGUUUAGGAGCAGCCAAGGUGGUUUCUUUUUGUUGCACACUCCAGUUUGAUUCUUGUGUGUAUCACACUGGUUCAUAGUCUGGAACAUUCAGUCUUGCUUGCUCUAUGUUUGUUCGAUGUCCAGGGGCCCAAUUACAGUUAAGUUGUGGAUACAACACCUAUUUCACCAACAACAGAGAACACAACAACACAAUUAGGGCUCACAGUAAAGCAAUUGCAGUUUCUUGCUAACAACAACACAAUCACAGAGAACACAACAACACCUAUUACUGAAUUAAUCUUGCACUGUCGUACUAACAGCCAACAGUAUUUCUAUCUAGUGAAGACUAAAGUUGCAUCAUCAGCAGCUUCAUAUAGAAGAUAAUGAUUCCUGUUUUUUAGUCUACUGUAAUUGUUUUUUAGCCCACAGCACUUUGCAUUGUUUUGAGGUUUUGUACAUCAGCUUUCUUGCUAAUCCAGCCCACGCGGCUGCUGUACUACUUGUCAAGUGAUGCUGCUGCUGCUAUCUGCGAGUUGUUGCUGCUAGUUGUGAUUUUGUCAAGUGAUGCUGCUGCUACUUGUGAUCUUCUAAAAUAACCCCUUUCUCCUGAAACGUUGAUUAAUUUCCGUUUCGGUUGAGAAAUGGGGCACUCCUAGGUCAAGAAAAUUAGCAAAGGUCAUGCCCAAUUUUCUUGACGUAGAAGGUGCCCGAUUCUCAACCGAAAUAAAAAUUAAUUUGCUUUAGUGGUUGGAUUAGUUUAGUAUUUUAUUCACACACUCAGACACCCUUGCUUGCCAUGUGUGAUAGAGAGAUAGUGAGAGGAGACAAUAAGCUAUCUGCAGCUUAAUUUGCAUUGCAUACUAGCUAGAUAGCUUUUGUUUUUCAGGACCAACCGAACAAUACAUACAUAUACCUGUAGGCACCAGCUUAAUUUCCAAGGCAGGACAAUUACUUGCUUCAUUAUAUUCAUCCAUCCAUCCAUUUUGCAUCAUGUACAGAACCAAAAAUAAUCGGAGUUUCUGUCUGGCUUCAGAAGUCAUAACACAUGCAUUUGGGUAACCCUAAAUGUCAAAAUUGCACAAGUCUAGACCCCUUUAUGCCAUAUACUUUCUAUUUUUCUUCAUCGGAGUUCGACUGCGCAUUAACCCAACGUGUGCAUGACUCGAUGGUCCAGGAAGGAAAUCGUUUCCUUUCAUCAGCUAGAAAAACUGCCAACGUUUCAAAACUGCAACUUGAUGAAGAUUGGAGUAUAUCUUAAUAAGUUUACCCUGUUGGGGCACAUCACAUACACACAUUUGCUCAAGUCCACUCUGGCCCAUGUAGAGCUGAAACCCAGUUUAGUUCCUUGUAUCACUUGUCGCUGUAAACCGUUUGAUUGUUUUCACGGAAAUGAUUUACAAGUUCAGCAAGUGAUGAGCUGUGAGAAUAACAUAUUCAUUAGGGUAGGCGUCUCCUGCCCUAUGCUGAAUGUGGUGCAAUUUUCGACGCAGAUUCAUAAUUUGCAGCUUAGCUUAUCUCUUGGCCCUCCAAUUAAAAUAUAGGGGUUGACCUUCACCACGGCCGAAGCUUCUCUGCAUCUAUAUAUAAUGGACAUUCCCUAGCUUCUGAACAAUCAACACAAAGCAGCAGGACUGAGUGUCUCCAAUAGUCAUCCUUGUGUUUGUGUAGGUUUUCUUUCCUUGGUCCAUUGAGCCUUCAUUCAUGGUUAUGAAUGAUAUGCAAUGAUCAGCCUGCUAGCGUUUAUCCUCUCCGCGUGUUUGAACACCCGGCGGUGUAGUAAAAAGUAAUUACAGAUACACUCACCCACAUAAGUAUUCAACACAAUGAAAAAAUAGUACAAAUUAAGGAAAGGCAAUACCAUUUCAGACGCUUGUCUUCUAAAAAGAAGAGUGAACUUUCUAGACACACCCCUCAAGAACUAGGUUACCCUGAGAACGUGCACUUGCACCUUAGCAACAACACACUAACAGGUUCUAUCCCAAAACACAUAGGCAAUAUCACAAACAUCUCUCAAUUGUUCCUUGACAAUAACCAACUUUUUGGCGACAUUCCUCGAGAAUUAGGUUAUUUGGUCAACUUAGAGAUCUUGUUCCUUGACAAUAACCAACUUUUUGACCAAACUUUGUUUCUAUUUAGAGAGAAACAUGGCCCACAACGAUGAGGCCGGGGGUUCGGGCGGCAAGGCAUUCUGGGAGCUGUCCCAGGAGAUGGAGGAACAACCUCACUUGUAUGAGGCCGCCGCCUUCCCCACCGAUCCUGAGACCACUGAUGGUGCCGCCGAGGAUGACCACACUGAUGCCACCACUGAUGGUGCCGCCGAGGAUGCCACCACUGAUGAUGGCGGCGCCCGCACAGAUGGCAGCCAACCGAAGAGGCAACGGAAGGACCGGCGCCCGAUCGUGCUCCUCACCCUCAAGGAGGAAGUUACUGAAGUGGACUCCAACGGGAAUCCAACGGCGCCCGAACGAAUAGUCAAGGGGUACUCGCUUCAGCUCGGGUGCAUUGUCCGGAGCACCGUCUCGAUCAACACCGAGAACCUGAGGCAUCCUGACCGAGGGAAUUUGCGCCACCUCCUCUUCACGAAGCUGCACGAACGAUACAAGUUCCCCGCUGAAUUUGCAAACACAAGCCUCAAAGGGAAUAAAGUGAACAAUGCUGCCCUCACGAAGAUGAGCAAGGCCCUGUCUACUUGGAAAAGCAAUGUGAAGAAAAUGAUCAAGAAAGGUGAGAGUUAUCAGAAGAUCAAGGAGAAAAAUCCUUCGAUCACCGAAGAUGACUACAACGACUUCAAGAUCAAUUGCUCGAGCACCGCAAGCUCCCAAUCAAGUGAGUGGGGGAAACAAAUGCGGGAGCUGAACAUAGGGGAACACACACUAGGUCCCGGCGGUUACAGAGUGGCGGAGCCUAUAUGGGACAAGGAGGAGGCGGACCGUGCCGAGCAAGGCCUACCGCCCCUCUUCGAGAAAUACAGCGGUAACAAGUAGACCAGGAACUUUGUCAGGGCCCGGUACAAGAAGGACCCGAAAACAAAGGAGCUUACCACGGAUCCGAAGACCAGGCAGCUUGAGCUUGUUCUGGUAAGGAAUACACCCCCGCGUAAUUAGCUCCAUAUGGUUGCAUUCUAAUUAAUGAAGCCAAAUUUCUAAAUGGUUCACAUUCCUUCCGCAGGCGACUGAAAGCAGUAGCACGGGGUCGACUAAGAGCAACCCUUGGGACACCACUCUAAAUAGGGCGUUGAAUGUAAUGAAGAACAAGGAUAAGCUCAGUAAGCCGACGUCAGCUGGUCGUGUGGCCGGCAAAGGCUUGUCGACAAAAUGGGGGUCAUACUAUACCGCUGGUGUGCGGAAGGAGAAAAAGACCAGCUCGGAAAGCCAGGCACGAGAGGUUCAAGAACUCAAGGCACAGGUGGCGCGGAUUCCGGAGAUUGUCCAAGAGCAAGUGGAACAACGACUCGGAGCGACGAUCACCGCCCUUGUGCCUACCUUGAUCUCGGGGUUGAGUGCGUGGAUUGCGGGCGGCCAACAUGGGCCGCCCCCGAUUCCUAGCUUCACGGCCAGCAACUCGCAUAAUGUGAUGGCGGGGCCAUUGGUGCCUCCGGCGGAGGCGGCAUUGGUGUCUCCGACGCCGGCACAGGAGCUUAAUGCACCCGGGUGUACGCCGGCCGGCACCUCUUCAGCAAGCGGCCCCUCCGUCAACUGCACGCCCGCCGUUGGCGGUGCGUCGACAUUAGCCGAGCUCGACACCAUCAUCACGGUAACUAAUUAAGCCUCUCUCGGCCGAGGACUUCAUCUCCUUGCCUUUGACUGGGCAUCCCUGACGCCCUACAUGUUUUCGCAGGGCGCCGCCGACGUUCCGUGCACUCUCCUCCACUUCGUGAACAACGAGUUGGUCGAUGUCGCCAAGGGAAAAAUCGUUCAACCGGGCAACCCCUUGUUCCACGGUACCCAGAUGCCACCCAACUUGUUUAGGGUUCAACUGGUUCGGGUGCUGCCAGGCUGCAACGACUUGUUACCUCCGAUUCGACCCGUCGGGGCCGACGAUGAAGACGUGAUGACCCUCAGCGCCUGCCUGAGCUGGCCCCUGCUUUGGCCGAAGAGCCAGAUUCGUUUGGGGCGGGGGACACCACCCCAAAGACAACACCGCCAGUCGUGCCGGCGCCAAGUCGGCCCCAUGGCAAGACCGCCGUAACGGUGCCGGACAUCCCUAUGCCACUGGAUCCAAACAUGCAUAUGGCACAGGAUCAGAACGACGACGACGACGACGAUGAUACAUUUGGCAACAUCGAUCAGUACUUUGCCGAUCAUAGGUACGAUGGCGACUUCAUGGGGCCUCCUUCUCAAGAACCAAACCCAACAAAAGACGUGUGCGAUCUAGCUGGUACCGCGGAGAAGCCAAGUUACAACAGGCACCGUCUGGCGUUCAGCUCUCAGGAGACGCCUCCAGCUGCCGACUUCACCGAGCCUCAUAUAGGCGAGGUGCGAAAUAUUAUCAGCCCCAACACACUCAAGAAGGCGGUCUGUGAGCAGAACUCGGUCCCAUUACAGGAGAAGAAGAAGUCACGCAAAAGAAAGACUAAGAAGGGUGCGAGCCAGCCGGCACCGAGUACGAUCCGUGCUCAGGACGGGCCACCUUCACCGCAGGAUAUCUCGGGGAGGGUGCAUGUGGCGGGUAGGGCGAUGCUACCGACAAAUAUGCUCAAUGCUGCAACCGGUGCUAUGUGGAGUCUGCAUGACAGUGUUCUUGCUUUGGAGAAGCGGCGUCUCAAAGAGAAGGAUGUGGCAUACCCGGUUUUCGCGGCCAAGGUGCCAGAGGGCAAGGGCUUUGUGGAUAACUCCAUCGGGCGUAUGAUCGUCCUGCGUUUUGAUGACAUCCAUGCUAUGUUGAACUUUCAUCCGCUGCACUACACCUUCGUUCGGCUAUUUUCGCUGAGUAUGGAGAUGCGGAUCAUUCGCGACAAGACCCCGGACAUCGUGAUAGUCGACCCCUUCUACAUGCGUGCCAAGAUCUUGGGCAGCGCUGGGGACCGGCAAGUAGCGAGUUCUUACCUCGAAGGCAUCAUUCUGGCAAACCAAGAUAAGGAUAACUUCCUCGUGCCUUACUUUCCCGAGUAAGUCCUCCCCUCAACCGGCCCGUAACAUAUGAAUUCUUACAUUUCGAUCGUUUUUCUUUUAACAUUCCGUGUUUUCUGCAGUGACACACGUUGCACGCUCAUCCUCCUAAGCCCCAAAUAUUCCAUGGCCACGUAUUUCGACCCGGACCGUCAGUCGAACGUAGACUACACAAAUGUCAAGAAGGUUCUUGAUGAUGUUCUCCCCGGCUACGCCAAAUCUGGAGGCACCUUCACCAGGCCUAUUCGUAAGUACGGCAAGCACGUGUUCUCCCACAAUACGACGUUCUGCUGCGUCAAGCAGCCGCCUGGCGGUCAGAAGGGUGCCUACUACGCCAUCCAUCACAUGCUGCGGUCGUACGGGACCAUCAUCAACUUCUGCUACCGAGUAAACUCAAAGAUUGGGCAAAGAGCGUGUCGGCAAUCUAGGACGCGGACCUCCGACAAGAAUUCUUUCGCAUCCAGUCGGAGUUUGCGGAAAUCAUCCAUCAAGAUGUCCUUCAUACCUCGGGGCAGUUCUACCUCAACAAUCAACCGUCCAACAGUGACAUCGACACAAUGCUACAAAUGCAGGCUGACAACGACCGUUAUUUCAUGACUCCCACGAUAGACGGCGGCUUCAUCCACGCUCCGGUCCCUUGAGUCGAGUCGAAAGCAGUGAUGCUGUGUCUAGUUCUGAAACAUCGAUUGGCUCAUGUUGUAAUUAAACUUUAAUGAACUUGUAGUAUGUCUCUUUGGUUUCGAGAGUCGUUCAACUUAGAUGUAAUCGAUGCUAUUAAUGUCUUGCUUUUCUCUUCCGAUCGUUCUGUUGCAUACUUAUAUAUUGCUUAUGUAUUGUCUGUGAAUUGGUACUAACGUUUCGUUUGGCUAGUGCAUAGCGAUGCCGACGUAUGUCGUGUACAAGGGUAAGGUUCCCGGAGUCUACGAUGACUGGGAGGAGUGUCGGAGACAGGUUCACCGAUUCAGCGGUAACAGUUAUAAAGGGUACACCACUAGGGCCGAGGCUGAAUCUAGAUACGCCCGCUAUCUAGCGGGAGAGGGGAGGGAGCGUUGGAGGAACCGGAUGAAGAUGAGUUUCAUCGUGAUGAUGCUCAUCGUGAUGACCGCAGCUCUCUUCUAUGUGAUGGUAGUUUAGAUGAUCGAUAUCGACUUGUAAUGUGAAGACAAACUCGCUAAUCGCGGUCUCGAGACUUGUAAUAUAAUGUUCUAUCUUUGUUCGGUCUUUUCAAUUCGGAGACUUAUAUGAUGAAUUGUAUUCAGAGACUAAUAUGAUGAAUUGUAUUCAAAGACUAAUCUUCUAUUGUAUUCGAUGAAUCUGUUGUUGAUGUGUGCUGUCUAUAUUUUGUCAAAUUAUACAUUUUGUAACCUGUGCAAAAAAAAGAAAAUAAAAAACAAAAAAAACCUAAUAUUCAUACUAAUGGCGCAUCACAUGACAGUGCGCCAUUAGUAUGACAGUGCAUACUAAUGGCGCAUCACUGGGUAGUGCGCCAUUAGUAUGCCGCGGUUACUAAUGGCGCAUCCAGUGGUGGUGCGCCAUUAGUAUGCCAAAGCACCUGGAUAUACAUGGCCCCUGGGAGGCAUACUAAUGGCGCACCCUGGCCUAUACUAAUGGCGCACCCGCGGUGCGCCAUUAGUAUACCAGAUACUAAUGGCGCACCAGGUGGUGCGCCAUUAGUAAAAAUUACUAAUGGCGUGCUAUUAAUGGCGCACCACAGAUGCGCCAUUAAUGGCCAUACUAGGUGCGCCAUUAGUAGGGGUUUUUCUAGUAGUGUAUGGCUACACACUUGUUAACUUCUCACGUUUGAUGCACAAAGGAUACAAGAUUGAGCAUGAGCCUUUUAUUUUGCCUAACCAAGCCGAUCAAGUGUUUUACCUAGAAGACGAAUUGAACCCAGGUUGGUCAGUGGUGAUGCAGAAUAAACUACCUAGAGAUAGAUGUGACACUGGAAAUGAUGAAUGCACACGAGACGUAGAAGCUGAGCCAUUCCAUGUUUCUCACCUCACGGAUAUGUUUAAAGCGAAAAGGAAAGAUCAACAUUGGGUAAGGCCUGAUAUUGAGGGAACAAUUGUGGAUGCUAAUGAUAAUUCUUUGAUCGAUGAGGAACGGUGAUGGUACAUCAUAUAAAGGUAUUUCUCUGUUCAAGCAACAUUUUCUUGAUUAUAUAUACAUUGUAGUUUUAGCUAAAAUCAAAGCUGAGUUUGCAGGACAUUAAUAACCAUUGUAUGUUCUUGCAGAUCGUUGGCUGAGCUUACACCCUUCAAAAAAUUCGAAGGAAUGAGGUCUUUCACUCAACAUAUAAACCCAAUUUUUCUUUUUCUUUAUUGCUUUUCAGUUUCUCGUCCUAUUUUCCAUAGAUGCUGCCAUUGUGGAUCCCUAUAUGCAUUGAAUUGAACUUGACUCUUUUUGAUUUGUUAUGAACUUUUUCUCAUGCGCUUCAGUGAAUCUUCUUUUUCAGAAAAAAUUGCAAGUCAAGAUUACAAGGAUUGUUCUAAACUGCUGGAUGAAGCAAUGUGUUCUUUUAGCGGGCUUUUAUAUGUUUGCAUAGUUUUUGCUCUUCAAACAUCAAGCUUGGAAAAAUUCAGAAAAUUGUUACUAAAGUUAAGCUUUAUGUACGACAUAUUGUCAUUGGAAAUAGAUACACUUUUGUCGAAGAAGUAUUAUGUCA
rnacentral:lncRNA from 1 species